rnacentral:rRNA from 1 species
GACGAACGCUGGCGGCGUGCUUAACACAUGCAAGUCGAACGGAAAGGCCCUGCUUUUGUGGGGUGCUCGAGUGGCGAACGGGUGAGUAACACGUGAGUAACCUGCCCUUGACUUUGGGAUAACUUCAGGAAACUGGGGCUAAUACCGGAUAGGAGCUCCUGCUGCAUGGUGGGGGUUGGAAAGUUUCGGCGGUUGGGGAUGGACUCGCGGCUUAUCAGCUUGUUGGUGGGGUAGUGGCUGACCAAGGCUUUGACGGGUAGCCGGCCUGAGAGGGUGACCGGCCACAUUGGGACUGAGAGACAGCCCAGACUCCUACGGGAGGCAGCAGUGGGGAAUAUUGCACAAUGGGCGGAAGCCUGAUGCAGCAACGCCGCGUGCGGGAUGACGGCCUUCGGGUUGUAAACCGCUUUCGCCUGUGACGAAGCGUGAGUGACGGUAAUGGGUAAAGAAGCACCGGCUAACUACGUG